rnacentral:sRNA from 1 species
UCUCGACCUGCGUCGGGCUGAUGAAAUGGAUGUGGGUGUCCAGUCCGCCCGCCGUAACAAUCAGUCCUUCACCUGCAAUGACUUCUGUUCCCGCACCGAUAAUCAGGUUUUCAUCUACACCGUCCAUAAUCGCAGGAUUUCCUGCUUUUCCGAUACCACAGAUUUUCCCAUCCUUGAUUCCGAUAUCCGCUUUUACAAUGCCCCAGUAAUCUAUGAUGACAGCACUUGUAAUGACGGUAUCCGGGCAUUUGUCAUCCGGCACGGUACAGGACUGCCCCAUACCGUCACGC